AACCAUCCAUGUACUGAGAAGAACACUAUUGAUGAUCCUUUAAUUGGACUCGUGUAAUAAUAUGCUUCUCAGCAUAAUUCAAUACUGCUCCUAUUGUGGAUUUGUAUGGUAUUCUCCUCACUCUUACUGAGCAUUUGUGGGAAUUAUGGCAUUUAUGCAGUGUUAUCCUCACUCUCAUUGAUUAUCUGUAGACGUUAUGGCGAGUAUCAAUUAGGGUAGGUGGGUAUUUCUGGGCUCGUUUUUGAUAUUUGGAUUAUUUCAUUGUAUAGAUAGGUGGGUUAAUCUUUGAUUGAACAAUAUUUUUGAAAGUAACUAUUUGAAAGAACAAGUACCCACAUUGAACUUAUUGCUACUUUGAUCAUUCGAAUAUUGUAGCCUUGAACUGAGGUAGAUCCUACAUAUAUUGAUUGAAAGUCUCUGGAGAUCCCUUCUUACAACACUAAUGGUUGGAGAAGAUGAAUGAUGACCAAGAGUUGAAAUGUUGAAAAAAUUAUGUUUCAAAGAACUGUUAUUUCCAAGAGAGAAGGUAGGUUGGCAUUUUUUGCUCAAAUAUCAUGGUGAAGUUUUGGUAGGAAUUUGAACUUUUAAAUCAUGAAUCACAAAAAUGAUUAAUUGAUUUGAUAGGUCAACUUCUCAAUUACUUGAGAAAUGAGUUUUAAAUCAGCACUAUAUUGCAGCCUUCGGUCAUGUAACUUGGAAAUAUGUACAUUCCCAAAGAACUUAAUUAGCCAUUAUUUUUAGAGGUUUUAGGUUUUAUGUUGCUUAAUAUUGCUGUAAGAUGGGUCGAGGUCUAUUGCAAUCAGACGCUAUGUUUGCAACUUGCUUGUAUACGCUUGGUAUGUAUGAAUUACCAUUGCUGAUGAAGUAACUUGAAUGGUGCUGUUAUAUACAUUAAACACAUUGAUUAACUGGUUUUCUAUUGUAAAUGGUAGAUUGUCAUUUUGGGUUAUGGAAUUCAUAUUACAAGGCAAAGAGGAUACAUAAUACUGAAUUGAAAUGGGCACUUUUUCAUCGGUCAUCUCAUUGUCAGUAGCUGUAUUAUGUUUGAGUGAUUUCAUUGCCUUCGCAUGGAUUCCACAGUAUGACUAUGCGAUGAUAGGUCCUGUUAUGAAUAUACAAUAUGUAACUAAAAUCACACAGGAUGAUCUUAAUAAAGAUGUGCAGUGCUUCAUCGCGGUGAAUCAUAAUGAUUCGGAUGUUGGCCAAGUCUCAGAUUCUUCAGAUCCUAGGAAACAUAUCGGUCGAUAUCAUGAGUGUACAAACAUAGAUGCUUGUUUACUUGCUGAGAGAAUGAUGAACAAGGGUAAAUUAGUGAGAAUGACAGCGGUGUAUUCCAAAGAAAGGGUCGAUUUAAAAACCAAUAACGUGGUGGUUGGUUUGGAGUUUGCAUUUACACAUAGUUUUUUCAGAACCUAAAUAAUUAGACCCAACGAUGACUAGAGAUACUCAUCUAACAUAAGUGGAUCUCGUUGAAUGUAUUCUGAUGCAAUUUUGUAAAUACUUGUUUAAAAAUCUGAUUUGGAUUAAAACAUUUUCUCACAGUUAUCACCACUGAAUAGAGCAUUGGCUAUAAUUAAGUAAUAUUCAUUGAGUGAUUUGUCUAUAGGUAUCUUAUAAACCUUCGGUGAAAAAGUAUUGUUAUGCAAAUGUGUUGACAAAUAAACGCUUUUAUUCUUUGAAAUAAAAUUCAUAA